rnacentral:rRNA from 1 species
CGUAAACCAAGGCAGAACUAUACACUCUGCCCGCCAGAAUACUUUUAGUCAAAACUUUAAACUCAAAGGACUUGACGGUGUUGCAAAUCGCCCUAGAGGAGCCUGUCCAAUAAUCGAUAACCCACGUUUCACCUUACCCACUUUCGCCAUUAGCAGUCUAUAUACCGCCGUCGCAAACCUACCUUUAUUGAAAGUACCACCGUAGGUAAAAUAGCCCAUCCCGCUAGCACGUCAGGUCAAGGUGUAACCAAUGAGUGGGAUUUGAGAUGGGCUACACUCUCUCAACACGAGAGACUUUUUUCCCCUAAUGAAAUGUGGGUUAAAUGUUGGAUUUAGCAGUAAAUCAGACAAGAGAGUCAAGUUGAACCGCGCCCUG